CUUCAGUUAUUUUAUUUUCUUUCCCCUCUCUGCUCUCAAAUCCUAGUGAGAGAAGAAAAAGCUUUCUCUCUCUUCACUCUUCUUCUGUUACUCUCUUUCACUCUCCCAUUUCUCACCACAACAACCUCAACUAAUCACUAUUCCCCUUUCUCUUCUCUACAAGUCUCAAUCAUGGUGAGGAAGAGAAGAACUGAAGGACCCAGUGGGGGUGAAAGCUCUGAGCACACUGCUGAAAGGAGUGCCCCACCCCCUCAACAAUAUGCCCCUCCCGUUGGAAUGACAGGAGCACCCCAGGGUGGACGUGGUGGUGGUGGGCGUGGUUGUGGUAUGCCCCAGCAACAUGGUGCCCCCCCUGACUAUCAACAAGCCCGAGGAAGGGGAGGGCCACCUCAACAAGGAGGCCGUGGUGGACGAUAUGGUGGUGGUGAGUAUGGUGGCCGUGGUGGAGGUGGUGGUGAGUAUGGUGGCCGCGGUGGCCGUGGUGGUGAGUAUGGUGGUCGCG
rnacentral:lncRNA from 1 species